rnacentral:rRNA from 1 species
UACGUAGGGGGCUAGCGUUGUCCGGAAUCAUUGGGCGUAAAGCGCGUGUAGGCGGUCCGGUAAGUCCGCUGUGAAAGUCGAGGGCUCAACCCUCGAAUGCCGGUGGAUACUGUCGGGCUUGAGUACGGGAGAGGCGAGUGGAAUUCCCGGUGUAGCGGUGAAAUGCGCAGAUAUCGGGAGGAACACCAAUGGCGAAGGCAGCUCGCUGGGACGGUACUGACGCUGAGGAGCGAAAGCGUGGGGAGCAAACAGG